UCUGAAUCUGCGAACGGCUCCGCAAACCAGUUGUAAACUCGAGUAAGCUAGUCCAAGGCAGCCUUCACGGGCUUCUCUGGGCGAUAUGGAUACCCCUGGUAAUUCUGAGGCUAAUACAGGACCGCAAACCUUGGCUGACCGGGCUUAGGCCUGGGAGGCUGAGGGAGGUGUGACUCUAUGGCUUGGGUUUACCGGGAAGGGGUGCACUUUCAGACCGCGCUACCAAAGGAUAGGACCCUUGGCUCUCUCGGGAGUCCAGGGGGCCCGACCCCAGCGGCUCUUACUGUGUGCUUCUGACCUAUCAACUAGACGGCAGCGUAAAGGACAUGCUAUGGU
rnacentral:rRNA from 1 species